GGAGGUUGUCCGGCACGGACGAGGAAAGCGUUUUGAAAACGCCUGCGGGUAACGCCGUCAAGAGUUCAAUUCUCUUAGCCUCCGC
rnacentral:tRNA from 1 species